AAGCCGUUACUUGCAGGGAUUGUUUCUAUGGUUUGCUACUAGAGAAGUUUCUCUCACUGUAGAGCACCCGAGACCACAAGAAUGAGACGUAGCUUUCUCUCCUGAGCGUGAAGUGGCUCUAGGUGCUACUUUUCUGUGUCUGCGUCCUGCCGCUGGUGAUUGUUCCUCUCUCCCUCUAGGAGAGUGGGAGGGAAGGAAUACAGUCUGAGUGGA